rnacentral:rRNA from 1 species
AGUGAACGCUGGCGGUAGGCCUAACACAUGCAAGUCGAACGGCAGCACAGUAAGAGCUUGCUCUUACGGGUGGUGAGUGGCGGACGGGUGAGGAAUACAUCGGAAUCUACUUUUUCGUGGGGGAUAACGUAGGGAAACUUACGCUAAUACCGCAUACGACCUACGGGUGAAAGCAGGGGAUCUUCGGACCUUGCGCGAUUGAAUGAGCCGAUGUCGGAUUAGCUAGUUGGCGGGGUAAAGGCCCACCAAGGCGACGAUCCGUAGCUGGUCUGAGAGGAUGAUCAGCCACACUGGAACUAAGACACGGUCCAGACUCCUACGGGAGGCAGCAGUGGGGAAUAUUGGACAAUGGGCGCAAGCCUGAUCCAGCCAUACCGCGUGGGUGAAGAAGGCCUUCGGGUUGUAAAGCCCUUUUGUUGGGAAAGAAAAGCAGCAGGUUAAUACCCCGCUGUUCUGACGGUACCCGAAGAAUAAGCACCGGCUAACUUCGUG